UAGAAGCGUUUUAUCCUUUAUCAAAUUGUUAUGAGUCAUGAUGGAUGCAUCUGAAAACAUCAGCUAUAAAAUCUCAGUUGGCUUUGAAGCAGGAACAAAGACAAAAUAAAACAAGAAUCAAAUCGCACAAGAAAAAACAGCUUCCAAAAACACUCCUAAGAAUGUCCUUGCAUAUGGAACAUAACUAAUUAAGUCAGACGGCCAAAUUUGUGAGUUCAAAUAGCAGACUUCGUCAUUACAAAAUCUCUGGUUUGAUGAGCAUCAUGCUGCAAGAGUAUGAGUGUUUGAACUAAAAUUACCCUGGGUGUUCUCGGUCCAGGUAUAUGUCUUGGGGUUGGAGUAGCCACGUUUUUAAUUUCCUCUGAAUCCUUCUGAAGCAUCUGAAAUUUCUGCAAACCUGAAAGUUGUCAGGAAGUAUUGCUGGCUAGUUGCCCAGAGGACUUACUCUGAGAUUAAUGGAUCCUACUUCAGUCACUUCUUUGUAGGGAGAACAUUCUGGAAGCAUUUAGCUGGCCAGGUGCCCUGACUGUGAGAAGACUUGGUCCGCCUGAAGCAGACCCUGGGGGCAGAUGUGCACUGAAGAGAGGCAGCACAGGAGGCAGGCCACUGAUGAUGCCAUCUGCUGUGAAGAACAGAUCCUUGCCCUUAAUGGAAAGUGAUGAAGACCUGACAGACUUUCCUCUGGGAAGACUGUGGGAUCAGAAUGAGCCAUUUUUGGAUAUAAAUGUCAGGGGCUUUGCCUGCAGCAGUUCAAGGAAGACAUAAUUACUGUGUGCUGCCUCCCUCCACUCCUUGCCCUGCACUGAAUCACCCACCUCCCUGGAAACAGAUCCACAGAGUUGGGGUGGGAGGAGGCGGCAGGGGCUGCGCCUGCUCAGGAUUCUUUCUCACUCUCAGUGGAGUCUUUGACUUUUCAGAAUUCUGACCCUGAGAGCUCAGUGGGACUCCAGCAGGCAGAGGAAGACCAUCUACCACAGAUGUAGCUCCAGAACUGAGGGCAAGGUAUGAACUAAACCUGGAGCCUUCUCUGUCAAAGGCAGGCUGAGUUUAGGCAUUCUGAGAUCAGUUCUGGGCUUUUCUGAACCUCAGCUGGGGGUCUCAGAACUGAAUCCUUAGGCACUGCCCCAUACUUUCCCUGGAAAUACACUUGUGACACAGAGAUAUUUAUGCUUACCAGCUACCCGGGCCAGACAUAUUGGGUCUUUACUAAAUCCUUGUAACUUGGAAACUUUAAUAAUGAUUUUCUAGCAUACCUUCCACCUAAUCUCGAAUGGCAUUUAAAAGGCAGACUUAUUGAAGGACACCUGCUCAGACAAUUACAUUUUUGUAUUUCAGAUUCUAUACAAACCGAACGUGGCUUCCAUAAGGGAACAUCUGUUCUAUACCUAGCAGUAUUAAAAUAUUCAGAAAAUUCAUCACACUUUACAACUACAUAAUUUAAUUUGGUUCUUUUAAGCAUUUAAAAUUACAGUGUAAAGGUUCACAAGGUUGAUGAGUUCCUUUUUCUGUGACUGAGUCGAAGAGCUAUUAUUAUUCUAGGGUCACAGACGCUACCGUUCCCUGAUUUCAGCCUGAUAGACAUCCCGUGGGCCUAGUCAUCUUCAGCUGUAUUCAUCUGGUUUUGCUUCCUUAUUUCAACUACAUUUUUGAAAGUUCCUGCCUGAGCUUAUCCACUGUGCCUGUCCUUAUAACAUUAUUGGAGAGAUAAUAUUCAUUUAAUUCUCACCAUUCCAUCCUACUACUUUUCUAUGAGGCUUCGGUCUCUACAGAAGUGAUAGCCUAGAGGCCUCUCUGUUCCUGAGGGUGAUGCUGAUAACAGUGAGAGUGAAUGUACUCGUAAUAGAUUUUCCACACUUUUCUUUUUAAAAUGUCACAAGUAAUAUAUGUCCAUGAUGAAAAUGAGAAAACAUGAACGCGAAAGAAAAAUUAAGAAUUUAUAUGUAUAAAUUUAUAAACAUGUACAUGUAUAUUUGUAAACAUGGGAUACAUUUGAUCACUUUUUAAUAUGUUCCUGCUUAACAUAACGUGAACAUGUUCCCUUAUUCUAAUGGCUGCCAAAUUUUGCUUGGUACGGGUACAAUCAAGUUAAUUUAAUUAAGCUUUUAUUGUUGGAGAUUCAAAUGAUUUAAAAAUCUUUGCUAUGGUAAGUGCACACUGAUGGACAUCUUAUAGUUAUAUGCUUGGGCAUUUCCUCAAGUAUUUUUGUAAGACAAAUUUUCUGGAACCCAAUUUCUUUUUGACCGUAGCUCUUCCCAUGGCCUUAACUGGCUCCUUCCAUGCACCUGGUUUUGGCAACACAGAAGACACAGUAUUGCUUCUACUGAAUUCUUUAUAUUAUUCCUUUGACCUCAAGUCUUCAUUUUUGUUGCUGUAUCUCCAGAAAUUUCUCACUUUAGGUUUUCUAUUCCUUAGCUAGAGGUUAUCUGGGGCUUGACCAAAGUUGUAAUUUCCCCAUUCCCUCCUAUCUUUCCACAUUGUUCCUUUGCUCUCCCUAAAUGCCUGCACUUCCCGUGACUCUGUCUUUGGCUUCCCUUCUUUGUAGUCUGUACUAUCCCUCGGCUAAUUCUCCCUCCGAUUCUAAUUUAUGAGAGUGGUGAAUUCUUGAGUUUUAGCCUUUCCCCCAAUCCUUCGACAUAUAUUCCCAACCAUCGCCUUGGCAUCUCCACGUGAGGAGGGACUCAAAGUUAGUCUUCCUCAGAAUAAACUCAUGCUUUACUCCAAACUCCCAAGAAAAGAAAAAAAAUAAAAAACAAAA